UGCACUGUAUGGUAUCUGCACUCGGCUGUUUCCCCUAGCCGGGCUGUUCAUUACGCAGUGCGAGAGGAACUCUGCAUCUGGCAUCGUUGGCCUCUGUGCCGCUCCUGUGCCUGUGGCCUGGUAUUUCUGCAGAGACAAGC
ensembl:snoRNA SNORA8 small nucleolar RNA, H/ACA box 8